AGAGUUUGAUCCUGGCUCAGGAUGAACGCUGGCGGCGUGCCUAACACAUGCAAGUCGAACGGAGCUGCUUUGAUGAAGUUUUCGGAUGGAUUUAAAGCAGCUUAGUGGCGGACGGGUGAGUAACGCGUGGGUAACCUGCCUCACACUGGGGGAUAACAGUUAGAAAUAGCUGCUAAUACCGCAUAAGCGCACAGUUCCGCAUGGAACAGUGUGAAAAACUCCGGUGGUGUGAGAUGGACCCGCGUCUGAUUAGCCAGUUGGCGGGGUAACGGCCCACCAAAGCGACGAUCAGUAGCCGGCCUGAGAGGGUGAACGGCCACAUUGGGACUGAGACACGGCCCAAACUCCUACGGGAGGCAGCAGUGGGGAAUAUUGCACAAUGGGGGAAACCCUGAUACAGCGACGCCGCGUGAGUGAAGAAGUAUUUCGGUAUGUAAAGCUCUAUCAGCAGGGAAGAAAGUGACGGUACCUGAAUAAGAAGCCCCGGCUAACUACGUGCCAGCAGCCGCGGUAAUACGUAGGGGGCAAGCGUUAUCCGGAUUUACUGGGUGUAAAGGGAGCGUAGACGGCAAGGCAAGUCUGAAGUGAAAGCCCGGUGCUUAACGCCGGGACUGCUUUGGAAACUGUUUGGCUGGAGUGCCGGAGAGGUAAGCGGAAUUCCUAGUGUAGCGGUGAAAUGCGUAGAUAUUAGGAAGAACACCAGUGGCGAAGGCGGCUUACUGGACGGUAACUGACGUUGAGGCUCGAAAGCGUGGGGAGCAAACAGGAUUAGAUACCCUGGUAGUCCACGCCGUAAACGAUGAUUGCUAGGUGUAGGUGGGUAUGGACCCAUCGGUGCCGCAGCUAACGCAAUAAGCAAUCCACCUGGGGAGUACGUUCGCAAGAAUGAAACUCAAAGGAAUUGACGGGGACCCGCACAAGCGGUGGAGCAUGUGGUUUAAUUCGAAGCAACGCGAAGAACCUUACCAGGUCUUGACAUCCCGAUGAAAAACCCGUAACGGGGUUCCCUCUUCGGAACAUCCGAAACAAGUGGGUCCAUGGUUGUCCUCCACUCCUGGUCCUGGAAAUUUUGGGGUUAAAUCCCCCAACCAAGGCCAACCCUUAUUUCUUAGUACCCCCAGGGUAAGGGUGGGGCACUCUAAAGAGAAUUCGCGGGGUAACCCCGGAGAGAAGGUGGGGGUAAAAGCCAAAAUCUUAAUGCGCCCUUUAAGAUUGGGCUACACACGUGCUACAAUGGCGUAACAAAGGGAAGCGAGCCUGCGAGGGUGAGCAAAUCCCAAAAAUAACGUCCCAGUUCGGACUGUAGUCUGCAACCCGACUACACGAAGCUGGAAUCGCUAGUAAUCGCGAAUCAGAAUGUCGCGGUGAAUACGUUCCCGGGUCUUGUACACACCGCCCGUC
rnacentral:rRNA from 1 species